rnacentral:rRNA from 1 species
AACGAACGCUGGCGGCAGGCCUAACACAUGCAAGUCGAACGCACCUUCGGGUGAGUGGCGCACGGGUGAGUAACACGUGGGAAUGUACCCUUUGGUUCGGAAUAACGUCUGGAAACGGACGCUAAUACCGGAUGAGCCCUACGGGGGAAAGAUUUAUCGCCAAAGGAGCAGCCCGCGUCUGAUUAGCUAGUUGGUGGGGUAAAGGCCUACCAAGGCGACGAUCAGCAGCUGGUCUGAGAGGAUGAUCAGCCACACUGGGACUGAGACACGGCCCAGACUCCUACGGGAGGCAGCAGUGGGGAAUAUUGGACAAUGGGCGGAAGCCUGAUCCAGCCAUGCCGCGUGAGUGAUGAAGGCCUUCGGGUUGUAAAGCUCUUUCGCACGCGACGAUGAUGACGGUAGCGUGAGAAGAAGCCCCGGCUAACUUCGUGCCAGCAGCCGCCGUAACAC